rfam:Ricinus communis cultivar Hale ctg_1100012322018, whole genome shotgun sequence.
GACUCUCGGCAACGGAUAUCUCGGCUCUCGCAUCGAUGAAGAACGCAGCAAAAUGCGAUACUUGGUGUGAAUUGCAGAAUCCCGUGA